CUCGUAGGCGGCCAACUAAGUCAGACGUGAAAUCCCCAGGCUCAACCUGGGAACUGCGUCUGAUACUGGAUGGCUUGAAUCCGGGAGAGGGAUGCAGAAUUCCAGGUGUAGCGGUGAAAUGCGUAGAUAUCUGGAGGAAUACCGGUGGCGAAGGCGGCAUCCUGGACCGGCAUUGACGCUGAGGAGCGAAAGCCAGGGGAGCAAACG
rnacentral:rRNA from 1 species